rnacentral:tRNA from 1 species
GCGGAUAUAGUUUAAUGGUAAAACCUUAGGUUGUGGUUCUAAAAACGUGGGUUCGAUUCCCUCUAUUCGCC